rnacentral:rRNA from 1 species
GACGAACGCUGGCGGCGUGCUUAACACAUGCAAGUCGAACGGUAAGGCCCCAGCUUGCUGGGGUACACGAGUGGCGAACGGGUGAGUAACACGUGGGUGACCUGCCCCGCACUUCGGGAUAAGCCUGGGAAACUGGGUCUAAUACCGGAUAGGACCGCACCGUGAGGGUGUGGUGGAAAGUUUUUCGGUGUGGGAUGGGCCCGCGGCCUAUCAGCUUGUUGGUGGGGUAAUGGCCUACCAAGGCGGCGACGGGUAGCCGGCCUGAGAGGGUGGACGGCCACAUUGGGACUGAGACACGGCCCAGACUCCUACGGGAGGCAGCAGUGGGGAAUAUUGCACAAUGGGCGGAAGCCUGAUGCAGCGACGCCGCGUGGGGAUGACGGCCUUCGGGUUGUAAACUCCUUUCACCAUCGACGAAGGUUUUCUGACGGUAGAUGGAGAAGAAGCACCGGCUAACUACGUG